rnacentral:rRNA from 1 species
AGUAAUGUAUGGGGAUCUGCCCGAUAGAGGGGGAUAACUACUGGAAACGGUGGCUAAUACCGCAUAAUGUCUACGGACCAAAGCAGGGGCUCUUCGGACCUUGCACUAUCGGAUGAACCCAUAUGGGAUUAGCUAGUAGGUGGGGUAAAGGCUCACCUAGGCGACGAUUUCUAGCUGGUCUGAGAGGAUGAUCAGCCACACUGGGACUGAGACACGGCCCAG